GUUCAGCAGGUAGUAGAGCGGGCAGAACUCCCUCAGGACGGACGACGGGAUGGCCUCCGCCGCCAUGAUGCUCCCGGGACAGACUAGACCGGCCCGAUCCGGCUCAGAUCUACAUCUCACAAACACAGAUUCAAAGUAACUUGAUCCCUCUAAAUGUAAUCAUCUCAGUCCGAACCGGUCCGAACCGCCUGGGGUCGUUGGGUCAGCGUCUGAGAGGACCAGAAGGUCCAAAGUUCGGCUGAGUUCUAUGGACCUGUGCGCUCCAGAGACGGUGGGCGGGGCCACUGGGACCAGCUGAGUGAUGCAACACUUCCGGCUGGACCGGACCCAGACCGGGGUGUUCGGGUCUGGCCGGACUCGGAGACAGAGCGAUGGAACAGAACUGAGACUCGGUUCUGAACGGCACGCAGCAGCUCGCUCGCUCGCGCGCGCGUCUCACUUGCAGUUGGUCAGAAACGACAACAACAACACAGGGGGCGCUGCGGAGCGGUCCGAAACAAUGACAACACCGACAGUUCUGACCCAGUCCGGACACACCCGAACCUGAUCGACCCAGCGAAGCAAAGCUCGUGCUGCCGGGGUCGGCACGCGGUAACUAGCGCGAGCGCCAGGGUUCGGAUGAGCAGGUCCACGCGCGCAAAGGCCGCGCCGGACCCCCCACCCCCAUCCGGCACAGUCCAGAACCGGAGACCACCUAGUUCGGUGGAGCAGAAACUACGACGGGGCGGCUGGUGGAGCGGCCGGUACCGGUCAGCCCGAACCGGCCGAACACGCAGACCAAGUGGCGCAAACCGACGGCGGCGGGACCGCGAACCACCGCGGGACUCACCGAGACCGACCCAACGACGCCUCAGGUUCGGGUCCGGGGGAUUCUGCGGCAGCUGGAUGCUGAAGCACGGACAGGUGACAUCGCCCUGCGCAUGCUCGGCUGUGUCACCGGACCACCGAGCUCUACGCCCCCUACAGGCGGCAGGCAGAAGUGACGGCGCGUCACGGCUCUUACGUCCUUCAUAAAGGUUCUGGCAGAACCGAACCAGAUCUGCUGGAGCCUUCAUAGGGACCGAACCUGAAGGAGCUGCGCUAAGAAGAAUCUGAUGUUUAUUUAGAAUCUGUUCCAUUAAAAACUAAUAAAAUAAGUAGGCCUACAAUAGAAA